GUUGCACCUGGACGCUCUCUGUGGUUUCUGAUUUCCGCCAUUACCUCGCUUCGCCUGAACUUCUGAUGGGAAAAUCGUCUGUUCUUCAAGUCAACUCAUUUAAAAAAGGUUUGCUGCUGUUUCCUGUAGCGGUCUGACAUUGUAGCCAUAUUGCUGAAUUUGAUCCUUUUGGAUGGGCUGACAUGGCAGUGAAAAGACCAGCCAAGUUGCGAGUGAUUCUGGAUUCUGAUGACACCAGGAAGCUAAUUCUGCCUGAUGGAAUUCCAGAGACAAUAGAGCAGAUGUUGAAUGAAGUCAGAAAAGUAUGUGAGUUGAAUGGGAAUUUUAGACUGCAGUACCAAGACAGAGACUUUGGAGAUGCCCUUGUAAACUUAACGCACCAUUCACAAUGGUGAACGCACCAUUAGUAUACCAGUUUUAAUUUCCUGUAUGAUAUGAAUUUUUGAGGUGAAAAAUGGCAGUUUUUGUCUUCAGGGAGGAGGAGGAUCGCCUCCAGCCGCCACACGACAUUGGAGUUGUUAUCGAUGGUGUGAAAGUCCUUAAUGAUUUGCCAUCAGUAGCGCAUGCAUGUGCUAUGUUAUUUGGGCUCAUUUAUGCUCUAAACUUGAGCUACCCAAGUGACCUCAAAUACACUUUUGAUGCUCUGCAAAAAAUAAUCAUGGAGAUUGAACCAAAAAAGAUGACGCGCAGAGUGUGCACUCUGAAUCUCAAACUCUAAAUAUUGGACCAAUGAAAAGACAUUUGGAUACAACAUGUGUUUUUGUUCUGUUAUAUAACUUGUAUUCAAAUACACUCCACGAUAAUGGAAGGUAAAGAAACAGACUUUGUUUGAAAAAUGUUCAUUUUGUAUUAAUUCUGCACACUGAAAAUGUGAAAAAUGCUAAAUUCACGACAAUUCAGUAGCACUGGUAAUGUUUUUGUUACAGUGGGUUAUGCACAAACCCUUGUUCAAAGGGUUUAACCCUUGUUAUGCAUGUUAUACAUGUUUGUUAUGCACAACAAAGGAUUUAACUCAUUAUGCACAAACCCUUGUUCCAAGAUUGGACACUAGCAAUUUAAGAGAUGUAACCAUAUUGUUCAUGUCAAGAUUUAUGUUGAUCUUUUGUCAAUAUUUUGUUUAUUAUUUAGUGUAAACUAAAUUACACUGAUUGUAACAAAAUGUUUUAUACUCUAGCAAAUGUGGCUUUUGUCCAUGGUAAACGUUUUAAGUUGUAGUAUAUGUAUGUGUGUGUGUGUGUGUGU